CAAAAAUUCGUUGUUACUUUCCGUUAGCAAAAAUAUUUUUUUACUUUUGAGUUAGCACUUUUCCAUUUUGUUGUGAAUUUUGCUCAAUUUCAGGAAAAAAAACCAUUUGCUAAUAUCUUGGUACCAAAACCGCUAGUAUGGACUCAAACCAACGUAUAAUUUUCUCAAUUUUAGCAAAAAAAAAUUAUAACUAGAAUUUGAGUUCUGCGACACAGGCGUGCAUGAACUUGUCAUCAAAUUUUUAAUUGUUUGCGAUGCGAGUAGAAAAUUUUGUUUUGAUUUAAAACAAUUUGGAAUUUAUUUGCAUUUAACGGCAGUUCGUUCAAAAAAGCUGUCGGCCGGGCCGGAAUCUUCCCCGUUCAGAAACCAUAAAAUAGCGUUUCACGAACAGACAUUUUCGUUCAAAAAUGCCACAAUAUCGACGCAAAUGUCCAUUGGCCAGGGCAAUAGGGGACAACCGAGUUGGAUUCUUCAGCCAGCAGGUAAUCCAAGCAGCAGGAAGACUUACCAAAAGGAUAAAGCUCCUGGUGAUAUCAUGCACAGUAAGUUCUUUCGACUGGUAGUAACAUGGAAAGACAUAACUACCGAAAAGCUACUCCAGUUCUAUGCGGAAUCUGAACUAUCCCAUAAGGUUGCUACGACAACAUAAAACGUCUAUCUGAUUCGAUGAUGUAUAUCUCAGCCACUACCACACGGAAGAUAGUCCGGAUGAAAUCAAGUUUGAUUGCCCUUUGCUGUAACCGACCUCAAAAAAUUCUCCUGAUGCAAUCAACUGCCACGGCUUCUUCUCGAAACAUCUGAUUACGGAAAAUAUGUACUAUAUUCCGGAUGUAUAGAUUCGAGUGUGACCCUCUGCCUGCUAAUCUCGUUGAACAUCGAACAACAAAAGUACUGGUUGGAUCUCAGCUAUCACAUUCAGACAUCGGAUGGCGAUUCCAGGACAUGGAAGUUCUAGGACGUAUUCAUGUUGCUUUCAACAACGUCCUUCAUCCGGAAGAUUGAUACAGUUGAAGCAACUGAAUCAGCGCCAAGAUUUCAAUUGUUUUGUUCGACCGGGGUGAAAAAUAUUCUUCAAAUUUUGAUCGGUAAGUUUUUACCACACAUUUUACGGAAAAUAAUAACUGAAAUUUGAAACAAAACUUAUUUUUCAGCCAGAUGGCUCGUGGCGGCGAAGUCUAGCCGCUGAAAUCCGCACAGUUGACGAGAACCUUGGCUGGCAGCAAGUGAAGACGCUGGCUCCGGAUCGCCAGCAGUGGAGAUCUUUUAUCUCAGCCCUAUGCGCCGGUUAAUCGGCGCUGGACCCUUAGGUAGGUAGGUAGAUGGCUCGAAAAAUAAUCAUCCCCAAAUCCAUGGACAUACGGAAAAAAAAGUAGCUAACAUUGUGGAGUUGCACCAUACAAACAGACGUUCGGAAAUUUGCGUGAUUUCUCAGGCACCUCUUUCAGUUGACACCCAAACCUACCCUCGAGUACUAAGUUAAGUGGAAUCAGUAGCAUCGGCCUCAAGCACAAAAAGGCUGUCCUAUCGUGGGGCGAAAGACAGGUGUAUUUAUUCAGGUUUGCUUUCUUAGUUUGGAAGGGGAAAAAGGAAACUAAAAACUUCUUAUUAUUUUUGCAGGAAUAAAUUGAUCCAUCUCGGCAAUUUAAUGUAAUGGUUGGUAGCAAGGAACCUCCUGAAGAAAAAAGUCAUCUCUACACGUUUGAAAAUAAAAAAGAAAAUCUAAACAAACAGGAACAAAUUCUCAAUUACUUUUUAUUAGAAAAAGGGAAAGAGAAAGACAUAACUACCGAAAAGCUACUCCAGUUCUAUGCGGAAUCUGAACUAUCCCAUAAGGUUGCUACGACAACAUAAAACGUCUAUCUGAUUCGAUGAUGUAUAUCUCAGCCACUACCACACGGAAGAUAGUCCGGAUGAAAUCAAGUUUGAUUGCCCUUUGCUGUAACCGACCUCAAAAAAUUCUCCUGAUGCAAUCAACUGCCACGGCUUCUUCUCGAAACAUCUGAUUACGGAAAAUAUGUACUAUAUUCCGGAUGUAUAGAUUCGAGUGUGACCCUCUGCCUGCUAAUCUCGUUGAACAUCGAACAACAAAAGUACUGGUUGGAUCUCAGCUAUCACAUUCAGACAUCGGAUGGCGAUUCCAGGACAUGGAAGUUCUAGGACGUAUUCAUGUUGCUUUCAACAACGUCCUUCAUCCGGAAGAUUGAUACAGUUGAAGCAACUGAAUCAGCGCCAAGAUUUCAAUUGUUUUGUUCGACCGGGGUGAAAAAUAUUCUUCAAAUUUUGAUCGGUAAGUUUUUACCACACAUUUUACGGAAAAUAAUAACUGAAAUUUGAAACAAAACUUAUUUUUCAGCCAGAUGGCUCGAAAAAUAAUCAUCCCCAAAUCCAUGGACAUACGGAAAAAAAAGUAGCUAACAUUGUGGAGUUGCACCAUACAAACAGACGUUCGGAAAUUUGCGUGAUUUCUCAGGCACCUCUUUCAGUUGACACCCAAACCUACCCUCGAGUACUAAGUUAAGUGGAAUCAGUAGCAUCGGCCUCAAGCACAAAAAGGCUGUCCUAUCGUGGGGCGAAAGACAGGUGUAUUUAUUCAGGUUUGCUUUCUUAGUUUGGAAGGGGAAAAAGGAAACUAAAAACUUCUUAUUAUUUUUGCAGGAAUAAAUUGAUCCAUCUCGGCAAUUUAAUGUAAUGGUUGGUAGCAAGGAACCUCCUGAAGAAAAAAGUCAUCUCUACACGUUUGAAAAUAAAAAAGAAAAUCUAAACAAACAGGAACAAAUUCUCAAUUACUUUUUAUUAGAAAAAGGGAAUCCAUAUUCAAAAUAAUGAAAUCUUUAAUUUUACUCAAAUUCCAGCAAUCUUGAAGAAAAACAAAAAAUACUACUA